GAUCCUGGCUCAGGACGAACGCUGGCGGCGUGCCUAACACAUGCAAGUCGAACGAAGCUCCCCGAUACAAGGCUUCGGCCAAGUCGAAGGGAUGACUUAGUGGCGGACGGGUGAGUAACGCGUGAGGAACCUGCCUUUCAGUGGGGGACAACAGUUGGAAACGACUGCUAAUACCGCAUAAUGUUUCUGGACCGCAUGAUCUGGAAACCAAAGCUUUAUGUGCUGAAAGAUGGCCUCGCGU
rnacentral:rRNA from 1 species